rnacentral:rRNA from 1 species
CGAGAGUAAGCUAAUCUCUUAAAGCCGUCUCAGUUCGGACUGUAGGCUGCAACUCGCCUACACGAAGUCGGAAUCGCUAGUAAUCGCGGAUCAGCAUGCCGCGGUGAAUACGUUCCCGAGCCUUGUACACACCGCCCGUCACACCAUGGGAGUUUGUAACGCCCAAAGUCGGUGGGCCUAACCUUUAUGGAGGGAGCCGCCUAAGGCGGGACAGAUGACUGGGGUGAAGUCGUAACAAGGUAGC